UACAGAGGGUGCAAGCGUUGUUCGGAAUUACUGGGCGUAAAGGGCGCGUAGGCGGCCGACUAAGUCAGACGUGAAAUCCCAUGGCUCAACCAUGGAACUGCGUCUGAUACUGGACGGCUUGAGUUCGGGAGAGGGAAGUGGAAUUCCAGGUGUAGCGGUGAAAUGCGUAGAUAUCUGGAGGAACACCGGUGGCGAAGGCGACGUCCUGGACCGACACUGACGCUGAGGCGCGAAAGCCAGGGGAGCAAACGGG
rnacentral:rRNA from 1 species